UGUCAGGUCAGGUAUUCUUCCUGCAGGCUUCCAGGGAGGUAACUUCUUUCCCAGUUUUACGUGCACCAAUCAGGUGUGCAUGGGUGGGGUUUUGUUUGUAGGCGAUAUAGACAGCUCUAUUCCGAUACCUGUAACAUUUGUUGCCUCUCAGUGACAGGGAAUACAUCAGAAGUCGGUUAUUUACAGUCGUUUUUCUACUUAAAACAUUGGCCUUUGUGUAAAUUCAAGCCUUGAUUGGAUGUUGUAAAUUGAGUCUUCCAAGUGGAUGCAGCUGUAAACAACUUGGAAUCUUAGAAGGUCUGUGUGCGGGUCAUGUUGUCCUCAGCCGAGGACUGACCUCACGUUGAACCCCCUUGGAGAUACUAGUGGAGAUACUAGUGGAGACACCAGAGGGCUGAAAACAUACAGGUGAAACUUAAUCCUCCAGAUAUGGCAGCGCCUGUGAGAUACCCUUGGUGGAGAGCAUUUGUGACAAGGAAGAGUAUUCCAACAACCCAAGAAUCUGGUGAGACCCAACCUUCUGGGGAGAAGAUGUCUCCUAUCUCCUCCAAAUCUACACCGGACUCAAAGGGAAACGAAACAUUUCCAGAUGCAGAAACCUUCGACGAUGCAGAGUUUGAGCCAAUGUUCAAUGAGAAAACUUGUAGACGGAAUCUCAAAGUGUCACGUUCUGGACGUUUUAAGGAGAACAGAAGAGUACGGGGGACCAUACCUGACAAUAACAACUUCAGUGGAAGUGUUGCUGCGACUGCUGUUGCUAAGUAGUCCAGGCUAUAUCAUGAUCAUUCUACCUGCCAGACUGCAGCCUGUUAUGGAGCAUGGAGCAAUGGUGAUGCAAUUUGAAUACAUUUUGAGGCAUUUUUUAAAGAUAUAACUUUCAUAAAUGUUCAUCAAUUGUGCCUAUCACCAGGUUAAUAUAUUAGGUAUACACCUAAUUCAUAAUAUGUUUAGGCCAAUGAAGGAUGGAUACGGAAUAGUUAUGAAGUAUCAAAUAAUUGUAAAGAAUGAUUUCAUAAUCAUUUUGUAGUGAAUUCAGGAAGUAGGCCCGUCCGGGACUCAAACCAGGGUCCGGUAACUGUCAAGCCAAGACUUUAAUGGUAACGCCAAGAGGUCUGGGUUAAGGUUACUAUAUUACCACCUUCCUUCAGGAGAGUGUCCCCACACUUCUCUAUACCAAGUCUCUCUCAUGUGUACACGCCUCUCCGAUGGCCUCACGGGUACCAUCCCAAUUCACUAGGUGUGGGUUAAGGUCUCCUACAAUAUCGAUUUUCAAGUAUGUUUUCAUAUUUCACACACACACAGCCUAAAGCACAUGGUAUCUAAUGUUACAAAUAUAUCCAGCCAGGGUCAAUUACUUAUUUUGUAAUUUGUUUGAAUAGCUUUUUGUGUGUUUGUUUUCUUGACAUGAAGGACUUGUGGUGGUUUGAUAUGAAGAACAUGAAGGACUUGAGGUGGUUUGAUAUGAAGAACAUGAAGGACUUGAGGUUGUUCGAUAUGAAGGACUUGAGGUGGUUUGAUAUGAAGGACUUGAGGUGGUUUGAUAUGAAGGACAAUAGGUGGUUUGAUAUGAAGGACAAUAGGUGGUUUGAUAUGAAGGACUUGAGGUGGUUUGAUAUGAAGGACAAUAGGUGGUUUGAUAUGAAGAACAAGAGGUGGUUUGAUAUGAAGUACAUGAGGUGGUUUGAUAUGAAGGACAUGAGGUGGUUUGAUAUGAAGGACAUGAGGUGGUUUGAUAUGAAGCCCAAGAGGUGGUUUGAUAUGAAGGACAUGAGGUGGUUUGAUAUGAAGGACAAGAGGUGGUUUGAUAUGAAGUACAUGAGGUGGUUUGAUAUGAAGGACAUGAGGUGGUUUGAUAUGAAGGACAAGAGGUGGUUUGAUAUGAAGGACAAGAGGUGGUUUGAUAUGAAGGACAUGAGGUGGUUUGAUAUGAAGGACAUGAGGUGGUUUGAUAUGAAGCCCAAGAGGUGGUUUGAUAUGAAGGACAUGAGGUGGUUUGAUAUGAAGGACAAGAGGUGGUUUGAUAUGAAGGACUCACAUACAACCAAACUUUAUUUAGAUCAUGCUGGAUUAAUCUGAUUCUGUUCAUACUGUACUAGGCUACCUAAGGUCUAGUAUGCACUAAUGCAGUGGUUCCCAACCAUUCUUUUGUUACUGUACCACCAACUGAAUUUUGCUCUGCCUGGAGUACCCCUGAAGUACCCCCUCGUGUAUUUUACCAGUAGGGCUAUGGGCUCAUGAGUCUUCUCAAGUACCCCUGUGGAUAGACCAAGUACCCCCAGGGGUCCUAGUACCACUGGUUGGGAACCACUGCAGUAAUGAACUCUUAAAGUGGAUGUGAAUGAAGGAUAUGCCAGCAUGUACAUUAGCUAGUGUUGAGAUUUUAAGAUACUAUUUUAAAUGUAAAAAAAAAAAAAAAACAUCUGCAUUUUGUACUGCAAUGUACGUACUCGCACGCACACUCACUCAAUUACAUACGACGUUAAUACACCUUUGUUACAUAUUUAUUGUGGAUAAUAUAUUUACUAUUUAGUCACGAUCUCAACAUCUCUGUUUUGAAUGGACAAUGCCUACUGGCAUCAUUGUUUACAGUCUGCUAAAAGUUUACUUCAGAGAUGUAUAUGAAGAAAAAACAUCUACAAUAUUGUAAAUAAAUGUGUAAAUAUGUAA